rnacentral:tRNA from 1 species
AUUUAUAUAGCUUAAAUAUAAGAGCUUAAUAUUGAAGAUAUUACGGUAGAUCAUAGUAUUCUUAUAAAUA